rnacentral:rRNA from 1 species
UACGUAGGGGGCAAGCGUUGUCCGGAUUCAUUGGGCGUAAAGAGCGUGUAGGCGGCCAGGUAGGUCGGUUGUGAAAACUGGAGGCUCAACCUUCAGAGGUCGACCGAAACCAUCUGGCUAGAGUCCGGGAGAGGAGAGUGGAAUUCCUGGUGUAGCGGUGAAAUGCGCAGAUAUCAGGAAGAACACCCGUGGCGAAGGCGGCAUCCUGGACCGGUAUUGACGCUGAGGCGCGAAAGCUAGGGUAGCAAACGGG